rnacentral:rRNA from 1 species
AUUGAACGCUGGCGGCAGGCCUAACACAUGCAAGUCGAACGGUAGCACAGAGAGCUUGCUCUCGGGUGACGAGUGGCGGACGGGUGAGUAACGUCUGGGAAACUGCCCGAUGGAGGGGGAUAACUACUGGAAACGGUAGCUAAUACCGCAUAACGUCGCAAGACCAAAGUGGGGGACCUUCGGGCCUCACAUCAUCGGAUGUGCCCAGAUGGGAUUAGCUAGUAGGUGGGGUAAUGGCUCACCUAGGCGACGAUCCCUAGCUGGGCUGAGAGGAUGACCAGCCACACUGGAACUGAGACACGGUCCAGACUCCUACGGGAGGCGGCAGUGGGGAAUAUUGCACAAUGGGCGCAAGCCUGAUGCAGCCAUGCCGCGUGUAUGAAGAAGGCCUUCGGGUUGUAAAGUACUUUCAGCGGGGAGGAAGGCGGUGAAGUUAAUAACUUCACCGAUUGACGUUACCCGCAGAAGAAGCACCGGCUAACUCCGUGCCAGCCGCCGCCGUAA